rnacentral:rRNA from 1 species
GGAACUAGUUGUGGGGUCCAUUCCACGGAUUCCGUGACGCAGCUAACGCAUUAAGUUCCCCGCCUGGGGAGUACGGCCGCAAGGCUAAAACUCAAAGGAAUUGACGGGGACCCGCACAAGCGGCGGAGCAUGCGGAUUAAUUCGAUGCAACGCGAAGAACCUUACCAAGGCUUGACAUAUACGAGAACGGGCCAGAAAUGGUCAACUCUUUGGACACUCGUAAACAGGUGGUGCAUGGUUGUCGUCAGCUCGUGUCGUGAGAUGUUGGGUUAAGUCCCGCAACGAGCGCAACCCUCGUUCUAUGUUGCCAGCACGUAAUGGUGGGAACUCAUGGGAUACUGCCGGGGUCAACUCGGAGGAAGGUGGGGAUGACGUCAAAUCAUCAUGCCCCUUAUGUCUUGGGCUUCACGCAUGCUACAAUGGCCGGUACAAAGGGCUGCAAUACCGCGAGGUGGAGCGAAUCCCAAAAAGCCGGUCCCAGUUCGGAUUGAGGUCUGCAACUCGACCUCAUGAAGUCGGAGUCGCUAGUAAUCGCAGAUCAGCAACGCUGCGGUGAAUACGUUCCCGGGUCUUGUACACACCGCCCGUCAAGUCAUGAAAGUCGGUAACACCUGAAGCCGGUGGCCUAACCUUUUUGGAGGGAGCCGUCGAAGGUGGGA